UACGGGGGGGGCAAGCGUUGUUCGGAAUUACUGGGCGUAAAGGGCUCGUAGGUGGCCAACUAAGUCGGACGUGAAAUCCCUCAGCUUAACUGGGGAACUGCGUCCGAUACUGGAUGGCUUGAGUUUGGGAGAGGGAUGCGGAAUUCCAGGUGUAGCGGUGAAAUGCGUAGAUAUCUGGAGGAACACCUAUAGCGAAGGCAGCUCGCUGGGACGACACUGACGCUGAGACGCGAAAGCGUGGGGAGCAAACAGG
rnacentral:rRNA from 1 species